AAUCAACGCUGGCGGCGUGCCUCAGACAUGCAAGUCGAACGCGAAAUCCCGAGCAAUCGGGAAAGUAGAGUGGCGCACGGGUGAGUAACACGUAGGUAAUCUACCUUCGGAUGGGGAAUAACAAUCGGAAACGGUUGCUAAUACCGCAUAAUGCAGCGGCACCUAAUGGUGACAGUUGCUAAAGCGGGGGAUCGCAAGACCUCGCGUCUGAAGAGGAGCCNGCGGCGGAUUAGCUUGUUGGUAAGGUAACGGCUUACCAAGGCGACGAUCCGUAGCCGGCCUGAGAGGGCGGUCGGCCACACUGACACUGACAUACGGGUCAGACUCCUACGGGAGGCAGCAGUCGGGAAUUUUGGGCAAUGGGCGCAAGCCUGACCCAGCAACGCCGCGUGAAGGAUGAAAUCCC
rnacentral:rRNA from 1 species